rnacentral:antisense_RNA from 1 species
CUCAAUGGUGACUGUGUGCGGGGCAUCUUCGGGUGCGCCGGGUAUCUUGGACCGGUCCGUCAACCUGCACACAGUUGCCACCUAU